rnacentral:lncRNA from 1 species
AUUACUUAGAUCGAUGCAAAAUAACAGGAAUAUCAACGGCAGUCCAAUUGUUGCAUGUCUUUCCAUGCGUCACAAAGUUGGUGCAGUCUUCCUCUUCACUAUCCUCUAGCACAGCAGCUAAGUGUUGUUCAUUCCCAUGAAUGAACCCUCCGCUACGGAAGCUGAGUUGCAUCUCUUCAGAUCUAACAGCUGACGAGCCCU